CGAGAUCUAAUUGGAGCUUGCUCCGGGAAGAUCGAGUGGCGGACGGGUGAGUAACACGUGAGCAACCUGCCUUUCAGAGGGGGAUAACGUUUGGAAACGAACGCUAAUACCGCAUAACAUCGUGGGAUGGCAUCAUUCUACGAUCAAAGGAGUAAUCCGCUGAAAGAUGGGCUCGCGCCCGAUUAGAUAGUUGGUGGGGUAAUGGCCUACCAAGUCUGCGAUCGGUAGCCGGACUGAGAGGUUGAUCGGCCACAUUGGGACUGAGACACGGCCCAGACUCCUACGGGAGGCAGCAGUGGGGAAUAUUGCACAAUGGAGGAAACUCUGAUGCAGCGACGCCGCGUGAGUGAAGACGGUCUUCGGAUUGUAAAGCUCUGUCUUCGGGGACGAUAAUGACGGUACCCGAGGAGGAAGCCACGGCUAACUACGUGCCAGCAGCCGCGGUAAUACGUAGGUGGCGAGCGUUGUCCGGAAUUACUGGGUGUAAAGGGAGCGCAGGCGGGGAGCCAAGUUGGAUGUGAAAUACCGCAGCUCAACUGCGGGGCUGCAUCC
rnacentral:rRNA from 1 species